AAAAUAUUUUUGACUCCUCCAUAAAAGUAAACACAUUUCUGUCUUCCUUCACUGUACUGAUUACAUUCACCUCCGCAACUGUAUUUUUACUCAUCACCGCCGCACAACACUUCUCAAGUAAGUCACCUCCGUAUCCUCCGCACCUCCGUAAACGUAACCUCCGCACACUGCUCACUGUAACACUUCUCUCAGCUCCAAACCAGGCCGGACUCCUCCCUAGCUCCGCCAAGCGCCGCCGUACGCUCUGAAAUCUUUCGUCGUAUCUGCCCUCUCCGCUUCCGGCCUUCCGAUCUGUCAUACCAAAUGGCCAACAGAGUUCAAAUUCCUACCAACAGUUCAGCACUUAUUGCCAUGAUUGCAGAUGAGGUAAGAGUGGCAAUGUCGUGUGUGCAUUCUUCUUUUCCUAAUUUUUCUCACCGUACAACACUUUAUUUUUUGUGUGCUUUUGAAUGUAGAUUUGAAGUACCAACUCAAUGAGAGAGAAGACAAUGCUUGUAAUCUGAAAAAUGUAAGAGCAGAUGUUGGUUGGAGGUAAGAUGUUUGUUGGAUAUGUGUCUCGUUUAUUGAUUGCAUACCUUAUUUUAAACCACAGUUUUGUUUGUUAAGAGCUAGCUAAGAUUUGAUUCCUUCCGAGAACAAUUCCAUUCAACAACUUCUGAAGGAAAGGACGGCGUUGAUCCAACUUCUUGCGGAAAGAAAGUAUCCUCUCGUGCUCCUUUUAGGAUCUGAAUCGAAAGCAUUAAAUUGAAAUGCUAAUGUUAAUUGAACUAAUGUUGUUUGAAAAUUGAACAGUAAGAUCAUUGAAGUGAGUGGCGCGGAGC